rnacentral:lncRNA from 1 species
GUUUUCAAGUUACGAGUUCUUAAUAAUUUUCUGGUGUCUCCGUUUUUGGUUCCUCGCAAAGAAAUUAGAAUCACAUUAAAUGAAUCAUAGAAACGUUUUAAUGAACAAUUAAAUGCGCAUACCAAUCAACUACCCAUUUCACCUAAGGAAAACAAUUCUGGCAGUAAACCACCAUUAUUCUUCCGGUCCUUUUUUGAUAAAAGU